rnacentral:tRNA from 1 species
CUGGCUGUAGCUCAGUUUGAGUAGAGCGCUCGCCUUGGGAGCGAGGGGUCGGAGGUUCGAAUCCUCUCAGCCAGAC